AACGAACGCUGGCGGCAUGCCUAACACAUGCAAGUCGAACGAGACCUUCGGGUUUAGUUGCGCACGGGUGCGUUACGCGUGGGAACCUUCCCUUAGGUUCGGAAUAACUCCCCGAAAGGGGUGCUAAUAACGGAUAAUGUCUUCGGACCAAAGAUUUAUCGCCUUUGGAUGGGCCCGCGUUGGAUUUGCUAUUUGGUAGGGUAAAAGCCUACCAAGGCGACGCUCCAUAGCUGGUCUGAGAGGAUGAUCAGCCACACUGGGACUGAGACACGGCCCAGACUCCUACGAGAGGCAGCAGUGGGGAAUAUUGGACAAUGGGCGAGAGCCUGAUCCAGCAGUGCCGCGUGAGUAAUGAAGGCCUUAGGGUUGUAAAGCUCUUUUACCCGGGAAGAUAAUGACAGUACCGGGAGAAUAAGCUCCGGCUAACUCCGUG
rnacentral:rRNA from 1 species